rnacentral:rRNA from 1 species
CCCGCACAAGCGGAGGAACAUGUGGUUUAAUUCGAUGAUACGCGAGGAACUUACCUGGGCUUAAAUGCAGAGUGCAUGGAGUGGAAACACUUCGUUCCCUUCGGGGCUCUUUGCAAGGUGCUGCAUGGUUGUCGUCAGCUCGUGCCGUGAGGUGUCGGGUUAAGUCCCAUAACGAGCGCAACCCUUAUCGUUAGUUGCCAGCGGGUAAAGCCGGGAACUCUAGCGAAACUGCCGGUGUAAACCGAGAGGAAGGUGGGAUGACGUCAAAUCAGCACGGCCCUUAUGUCCAGGGCUACACACGUGUUACAAGGUGGCCGGUACAGAGGGCAGCUACCUGGAGACAGGAUGCGAAUCUCGAAAGCCGGUCUCAGUUCGGAUCGGAGUCUGCAACUCGACUCCGUGAAGCUGGAUUCGCUAGUAAUCGCGCAUCAGCCAUGGCGCGGUGAAUACGUUCCCGGGCCUU